rnacentral:rRNA from 1 species
UACGGGGGGGCAAGCGUUGUUCGGAAUUACUGGGCGUAAAGGGCUCGUAGGCGGCCAACUAAGUCAGACGUGAAAUCCCUCGGCUUAACCGGGGAACUGCGUCUGAUACUGGAUGGCUUGAGUUUGGGAGAGGGAUGCGGAAUUCCAGGUGUAGCGGUGAAAUGCGUAGAUAUCUGGAGGAACACCGGUGGCGAAGGCGGCAUCCUGGACCAACACUGACGCUGAGUGAGCGAAAGCCAGGGGAGCAAAACGGGG